rnacentral:rRNA from 1 species
UACGGAGGGUGCAAGCGGUAUCCGGAUUCACUGGGCUUAAAGGGUGCGUAGGCGGGCAGGUAAGUCAGUGGUGAAAUCUCCAAGCUUAACUUGGAAACUGCCGUUGAUACUAUCUGUCUUGAAUAUUGUGGAGGUGAGCGGAAUAUGUCAUGUAGCGGUGAAAUGCUUAGAUAUGACAUAGAACACCAAUUGCGAAGGCAGCUCACUACACAAUCAUUGACUCUGAGGCACGAAAGCGUGGGGAUCAAACAGG